UACGUAGGCAGCAAGCGUUGUUCGGAGUUACUGGGCGUAAAGGGUGUGUAGGCGGCCUGAAAGGUCAGCUGUGAAAACUCGAGGCUCAACCUCGAGACGUAGGUUGAAACCAUCUGGCUAGAGUCCGGAAGAGGAGAGUGGAAUUCCCGGUGUAGCGGUGAAAUGCGCAGAUAUCGGGAAGAACACCCGUGGCGAAGGCGGCUCUCUGGGACGGUACUGACGCUGAGACGCGAAAGCGUGGGGAGCGAACAGG
rnacentral:rRNA from 1 species